rnacentral:misc_RNA from 1 species
GAUGAAGAACGCAGCGAAAUGCGAUAAGUAAUGUGAAUUGCAGAAUUCAGUGAAUCAUCGAAUCUUUGAACGCACAUUGCGCCCCUUGGUAUUCCGAGGGGCAUGCCUGUUCGAGCGUCAUUAUAACCCCUCAAGCUCAGCUUGGUGUUGGGGCCUGCUGCACUGGCAGCCCUUAAAAUCAGUGGCGGCGCCAUCUGGCUCUAAGCGUAGUAAUUCUUCUCGCUAUGGAGUCCUGGUGGAUGCUUGCCAUCAACCCCCAAUUUUUCUAUGGUUGACCCCGGAUCAGGUAGGGAUACCCGCUGAACUUAAGCAUAUCAAUAAGCGGAGGA